rnacentral:rRNA from 1 species
GCCAGCAGUGAUAGCACGUUGAAUGCACCAGUUCCGAUGGAUCAUUGAAGUUAAGAAACGUUGAAGUUAAGGUCAUCCUGAUCGGUGACCAUCUGGCCUCUUGCGUGCUGCUGGUU